rnacentral:rRNA from 1 species
UACAGGGGGUGCAAACGUUGCUCGGAAUCAUUGGGCGUAAAGCGCACGUAGGCGGUUCGUUAUGUCGGAUGUGAAAGCCCUUGGCUUAACCGAGGAAGUGCAUCCGAAACUGGCGAGCUAGAGUACGAAAGAGGAUCGCGGAAUUCCCGGUGUAGAGGUGAAAUUCGUAGAUAUCGGGAGGAACACCGGUGGCGAAGGCGGGUCUCUGGGCCGAUAUUGACGCUGAGGAGCGAAAGCGUGGGGAGCGAACAGG